UUGGAGGGCAAGUCUGGUGCCAGCAGCCGCGGUAAUUCCAGCUCCAAUAGCGUAUAUUAAAGUUGUUGCAGUUAAAAAGCUCGUAGUUGAAUUUCGGGGUCAGCAGGUUGGUCGUGCCAAUGGUAUGCACUGGCCUUGCUGAUUCCUCCCUCUUGAUGAGCCGUAAUGCCAUUAAUUUGGUGUUGCGGGGAAUCAGGACUGUUACUUUGAAAAAAUUAGAGUGUUUAAAGCAGGCAAGCGCUUGAAUACAUUAGCAUGGAAUAAUGAAAUAGGUCGUUUAAUCCUAUUUUGUUGUUUCUAGGAUUGACGUAAUGAUUAAUAGGGAUAGUUGGGGGCAUUAGUAUUCAAUUGUCAGAGGUGAAAUUCUUGGAUUUAUUGAAGACUAACUACUGCGAAAGCAUUUGCCAAGGAUGUUUUCAUUAAUCAAGGACGAAAGUUAGGGGAUCGAAGACGAUCAGAUACCGUUGUAGUCUUAACCAUAAACUAUGCCGACUAGGGAUCGGAUGAUGUUAAUUUUUUAAUGACACAUUCGGCGCCUUACGGGAAAC
rnacentral:rRNA from 1 species